GGUAUUGUCAGUGCCUAAAAGGCAGAAUACACAAAAUAAAAAGGCUGUGAAGAGGCUAUAUAGAUAUUAUUUUUCUACAGAAAUUAUUUUGUUGUUCUUUAUGGCUGCAGCUGGAAGGAAACAUGUUUCAAAACACAUAAUCCAAAGGCUCAACAAAGAGGAGAAGUGCUGCAGCCCUUUUAUCAUUCUCGUUGUCCUUUUCUGGACCUGAUCCAACACCACCUCAUCCAUCUCAUGCUGGGGGCUCCAGGCCUGGAUGAAGUACUCCAAAGAGAUCUUCACAACAGCAGGGU
rnacentral:lncRNA from 1 species